GCUGUCUAGUAUAGCAAUUAUACGGCGAAACUGCGAAUGGCUCAUUAAAUCAGUUAUCGUUUAUUUGAUAGUACCUUACUACUUGGAUAACCGUGGUAAUUYUAGAGCUAAUMCAUGCUUAAAACCCCGACUUCACGAAGGGGUGUAUUUAUUAGAUUAAAAACCAAUGCCCUUCGGGGCUYUUUGGUGAUUCAUAAUAACUUUUCGAAUCGCAUGGCCUUGCGCCGGCGAUGGUUCAUUCAAAUUUCUGCCCUAUCAACUUUCGAUGGCAGGGUCUUGGCCUGCCAUGGUGACAACGGGUAACGGAGGGUUAGGGCUCGACCCCGGAGAAGGAGCCUGAGAAACGGCUACUACAUCCAAGGAAGGCAGCAGGCGCGCAAAUUACCCAAUCCCGACUCGGGGAGGUAGUGACAAUAAAUACUGAUACAGGGCUCUUUUGGGUCUUGUAAUUGGAAUGAGUACAAUUUAAAUCCCUUAACGAGGAACAAUUGGAGGGCAAGUCUGGUGCCAGCAGCCGCGGUAAUUCCAGCUCCAAUAGCGUAUAUUAAAGUUGUUGCAGUUAAAAAGCUCGUAGUUGAACCUUGGGCCUGGCUGGCCGGUCCGCCUCACCGCGUGCACUGGUUCGGCCGGGCCUUUCCCUCUGGGGAACCGCAUGCCCUUCACUGGGUGUGUCGGGGAACCAGGACUUUUACUGUGAAAAAAUUAGAGUGUUCAAAGCAGGCCUAUGCUCGAAUACAUUAGCAUGGAAUAAUAGAAUAGGACGUGUGGUUCUAUUUUGUUGGUUUCUAGGACCGCCGUAAUGAUUAAUAGGGACAGUCGGGGGCAUCAGUAUUCAAUUGUCAGAGGUGAAAUUCUUGGAUUUAUUGAAGACUAACUACUGCGAAAGCAUUUGCCAAGGAUGUUUUCAUUAAUCAGGAACGAAAGUUAGGGGAUCGAAGACGAUCAGAUACCGUCGUAGUCUUAACCAUAAACUAUGCCGACUAGGGAUCGGGCGAUGUUAUUAUUUGACUCGCUCGGCACCUUACGAGAAAUCAAAGUCUUUGGGUCUGGGGAGUCUCC
rnacentral:rRNA from 1 species